GAUGAACGCUGGCGGCGUGCCUAAUACAUGCAAGUCGAGCGAAGCGGGGACGGGUGAGUAACACGUGGAUAACCUCCUAUAAGACUGGGAUAACUUCGGGAAACCGGAGCUAAACCGGAUACUUAUAGAUGGAUCCGCGCUGCAUUAGCUAGUUGGUAAGGUAACGGCUUACCAAGGCAACGAUGCAUAGCCGACCUGCGAGGGUGGUCGGCCACACUGGAACUGAGACAAGGUCCCGACUCCUACGGGGGGGAGCAGUAGGGGAUCUUCCGGAAAGGGCGGAAGCCUGACGGGGCAACGGCGCGGUGGUGAUGACGGCCUUCGGGUUGUUAAGCUCUGUUAAUCGGGAAGCGGUACCGGAAUAGAAAGCCACGGCUAACUACGUGCCAGCAGCCGCGGUAAUUC
rnacentral:rRNA from 1 species